rnacentral:rRNA from 1 species
GAUGAACGCUGACAGAAUGCUUAACACAUGCAAGUCUUUGGCGAAGCUGUGCUUGCACCGCCUAGCCAGGGCGGACGGGUGAGUAACGCGUAAGGAACUUGCCCUGCAGUCAGGGAUAACAGACGGAAACGACUGAUAAGACCUGGUAAAGUCAGGCGGACUCAUGUCCAGCCUGAUGAAAAGAGAUGCUGCAGGAGAGCCUUGCGUCCUAUUAGCUUGUUGGUGGGGUAACGGCCCACCAAGGCGAUGAUAGGUAGCCGGCCUGAGAGGGUGGACGGCCACAAGGGGACUGAGAUACGGCCCUUACUCCUACGGGAGGCAGCAGUGGGGAAUAUUGGACAAUGGGGGCAACCCUGAUCCAGCAAUUCUGUGUGCACGAUGAAGGUUUUCGGAUUGUAAAGUGCUUUCAGCAGGGAAGAAAAAAAUGACGGUACCUGCAGAAGAAGCGACGGCUAAAUACGUG